GUGGGGAAUCUUAGACAAUGGGGGCAACCCUGAUCUAGCCAUGCCGCGUGAGUGAUGAAGGCCUUAGGGUCGUAAAGCUCUUUCGCUGGGGAAGAUAAUGACGGUACCCAGUAAAGAGACCCCGGCUAACUCCGUGCCAGCAGCCGCGGUAAUACGGAGGGGGUUAGCGUUGUUCGGAAUUACUGGGCGUAAAGCGCGCGUAGGCGGAUUGGAAAGUUGGGGGUGAAAUCCCGGGGCUCAACCCUGGAAUGGCCUUCAAAACUCCCAGUCUUGAGGUCGAGAGAGGUGAGUGGAAUUCCGAGUGUAGAGGUGAAAUUCGUAGAUAUUCGGAGGAACACCAGUGGCGAAGGCGGCUCACUGGCUCGAUACUGACGCUGAGGUGCGAAAGCGUGGGGAGCAAACAGGAUUAGAAACCCCGGUAGUCC
rnacentral:rRNA from 1 species